GAUGAACGCUAGCGGCAGGCCUAAUACAUGCAAGUCGAGCGGCAAGUUGAGAAGCAAUUCGAGACCUAGAGCGGCGUACGGGCGCGUAACGCGUAUGCAACCUACCUCAUACAGGGGGAUAGCCCGGAGAAAUCUGGAUUAAUACCCCAUAGUACAUAUAGCGGGCAUCUGAAAUAUGUUAAAGAUUCAUCGGUAUGAGAUGGGCAUGCGUCUGAUUAGCUAGUUGGCGGUGUAACGGACCACCAAGGCGACGACCAGUAGGGGUUCUGAGAGGAAGGUCCCCCACACUGGCACUGAGAUACGGGCCAGACUCCUACGGGAGGCAGCAGUAGGGAAUAUUGGGCAAUGGUCGGAAGACUGACCCAGCCAUGCCGCGUGUAGGAAGAAGGCCCUCUGGGUUGUAAACUGCUUUUAUCUGGGAAGAAAAGGCCCGUGCGCGGGACAUUGCCGGUACCAGAUGAAUAAGCACCGGCUAACUCCGUGCCAGCCGCCGCAGUAAAAC
rnacentral:rRNA from 1 species